rnacentral:misc_RNA from 1 species
AAAGGUGCAUGAGUGGUGUUUGGUUUGUUACGGGUGGUUGGCUCUUUGCUUGUGCAACAACUUCCACCUGGCAUACCUCUUCAGUCUUGUGUCAAUGCUUAUGUUGCAUUGAAUGCACAGUGGGUUUCUUGUGUUGCAUGCCUUAAUUGAUGGUAUCGUUUGAUGAAUUGAUGUCUAUUUUCGUCUUGUGUCGCACAUGCGAUGUGAGAUGAACCUUAAUGCAACAUUUGUGAUCCACUCUUUUGAUGCACACGCAUUGAUUUUGUGGCCCAUUGAGUGUUGCUUGGUAUCAUGGAUAUGGAACCUUGUGUGGGCAUGGGAUCUUUUACUAGUUCCUUGUUUGCCCUAGUUAAGCUUUUCAAAUGCGAUUUCCUAUCAUGUCUUAACGUGGUAGGCUAGAUCGAAUAUGAAUGCUACCUGGUU